rnacentral:rRNA from 1 species
GACGAACGCUGGCGGCGUGCUUAACACAUGCAAGUCGAACGGUAAGGCCCUUCGGGGUACACGAGUGGCGAACGGGUGAGUAACACGUGGGUGAUCUGCCCUGCACUUCGGGAUAAGCCUGGGAAACUGGGUCUAAUACCGGAUAGGACUCCGGACUGCAUGGUCUGGGGUGGAAAGCUUUUGCGGGGUGGGAUGGGCCCGCGGCCUAUCAGCUUGUUGGUGGGGUGAUGGCCUACCAAAGCGACGACGGGUAGCCGGCCUGAGAGGGUGACCGGAACACUGGGACUGAGAUACGGCCCAGACUCCUACGGGAGGCAGCAGUGGGGAAUAUUGCACAAUGGGCGCAAGCCUGAUGCAGCGACGCCGCGUGAGGGAUGACGGCCUUCGGGUUGUAAACCUCUUUCAGCAUCGACGAAGCGAAAGUGACGGUAGGUGCAGAAGAAGGACAGGCCAACUACGUGCCAGCAGCCGCCGUAA